AAGACUUACUUUCAGGGAUCAUUUUUAUAGUUUGUUACUGGAGAAAUUUCUUUGAACGUGUAGAGGUUUGGAAACCAUGAGGAGGCAUGGUGUUCUCUCCUGAGCAUGAAGCUGGCUCUUGGUGUUCCUUUGCUACAAAUACCAUUUGUCAUUGACAAUCAUUCUUCUCUUCCUUCAGGAGUGUAAGAGGGAGUCUAAGUGGU
rnacentral:snoRNA from 1 species